CCCUAACCUAAUUUUCUCCAACUCUAAGACACAACCAUAGAAUCCCCCAAAAAAAUUCGACCCUCUCUUGUCAAAAGAAAACCAGCGACAGACCUCCCCCCCUCCACACAAAAAUGUUGCUAAUUCGCUAAACUCCACAACCGUUUCCCCUCCCCCUUCAGAAAAUCUAUAUCUUCUUUUCCCAAAAGAUUUAAAAAAAUAUAUUCCAUAAGAUAUCUAAGUGGACAACCACCAAACCCAAGAUUUCUUUUCUAAUCUCUCUUAAAUGAGAGAUAUGGCAGAACCCCAAAAAAGAGACCCCCCCCCUCCUUCCUAAAAAAGAAGAUGGCAAAUCUCUCAUUUUUCAAAAGAAAUUGGCCCCCUCACUAGAGUGACGGAAUUGUAAGCCUAGUUGAAGGUAUUUUUCAGUCAAAGGUGUGGUCUCCGUUCGAGUUUACGGCAAGGUUUCUAACAUGCGUUCGUUGAGGUUUUCAGCGAGAAUUUUCUGUCCAUGUCCUGUUUUCCUUUUAUUGCUAGACUGGACAACCGCUUGGCUUAUUAUACAUUGAAUUGGAGUUUUCAACUAAUACAAGAUUCAGGCGCUUCAAGUCCUGCUAGCGAGGGUUGAUAGCUUCCAACAGAUUUUCGGAGUCUACUAGGUAGCUGCUCGGCGUUCGCAGCCCAGUGUUUCUCCCUCUUAUCAUUAUUUCUUUCCCUUGUACUGGAUUUUGUAAUAGACUAUGUAGUCCCUUUUUUCGUAUUCCUAAACUAUGUUAAAUGCUCAUGACUGGUGACACCCCAAUGCCGGUUAGUGUUGGUCUUUCUGCAAAUUAUACUAUUUCAUUGUUUCUUUUUGGGAUUUAAAUAUGUUAAUGACUUAA